rnacentral:pre_miRNA from 1 species
AUUGGCUAUGCGCUUUGGCAGUGUGGUUAGCUGGUUGUGUGGCCAACUGACAAAUCACAGCCACUAUCUUCACUGCCGCCGCGACAAGCUAUGA